rfam:Oryza glumipatula chromosome 6, whole genome shotgun sequence.
UUCAAGUGCAACUAUAAGUUUCCGUGUCUAACAUUUAACCAUUCAUCUUAUUUAUUUUUUUUAUAAUUAGUAUUUUUGUUGUUAUUUGAUGAUAAAACAUAAAUAAUAUUUUAUGUAUAACUUAUUAUCUUUAAUUUUUUUAUAAUUUUUUAAAAUAAGAUAUGCAGUCGAAUGUUGAACACGAAAACCUAUAACUGUAUUUAAA